rnacentral:rRNA from 1 species
AACCUUACGUGGUCUUGACAUCCACGGAAGUUUUCAGAGAUGAGAAUGUGCCUUCGGGAACCGUGAGACAGGUGCUGCAUGGCUGUCGUCAGCUCGUGUUGUGAAAUGUUGGGUUAAGUCCCGCAACGAGCGCAACCCUUAUCCUUUGUUGCCAGCGGUCCGGCCGGGAACUCAAAGGAGACUGCCAGUGAUAAACUGGAGGAAGGUGGGGAUGACGUCAAGUCAUCAUGGC